rnacentral:rRNA from 1 species
UGGCCUGGCGGCAUGCUUACACAUGCAAGUCGAACGUGAAAGCACUUCGGUGUGAGUAGAGUGGCGGACGGGUGAGUACGCGUGGGAAUCUGCCCAGUAGUGGGGGACAACUACCGGAAACGGUAGCUAAUACCGCAUACGCCCUAUGGAGGAAAGGCUUCGGCCGCUAUUGGAUGAGCCCGCGUCAGAUUAGCUAGUUGGUAGGGUAAAGGCCUACCAAGGCAACGAUCUGUAGCUGGUCUGAGAGGACGAACAGCCACACUGGGACUGAGACACGGCCCAGACUCCUACGGGAGGCAGCAGUGGGGAAUAUUGGACAAUGGGCGAAAGCCUGAUCAGCAAUGCCGCGUGUGUGAAGAAGGCCUGCGGGUUGUAAAGCACUUUCAGUUGGGAAGAUGAUGACGUUACCAACAGAAGAAGCACCGGCUAAAUCCGUGCCAGCAGCCGCGGUAAUACGGAUGGUGCGAGCGUUAAUCGGAAUUACUGGGCGUAAAGCGCGCGUAGGCGGCUAAGUCAGUCAGAAGUGAAAGCCCCGGGCUCAACCUGGGAAUUGCUUUUGAUACUGCUUGGCUAGAGUUUGGUAGAGGAUAGUGGAAUUCCAGGUGUAGCGGUGAAAUGC